rnacentral:lncRNA from 1 species
CUGUGGUUCCCUAUGGAAACACUGACAAGAACAGGUGGAAGAAAUAUGUGGUCUUCGGUUAAAAACUCUUCAGGGUUCAAAGAAGGGCACUCUCACAUCAUGUGAUGGGUGAGCUCUAGUCAUUCUGUGAGAGGAACUCCAGGAGACCAGAUCCAACUCGCAAUCAGCUAUAGUGAAGUUAUGAUAUGAGAAGCACCAACUUGGCACAAGACUUGGGAAAGGCAAUGAGGCAGCAGGCAAGCUUUAAGGGAUGACACUUACCUUGAGGGAGCAAGGACAAGUUGUGACCUUCCCAGUCCUCUCUCCAUUUGCAGAUCAGCAAGCUUCUGUCAGCAAGGAGGGGUGGACAAUGAAACUGGGUUCAGCUUGAUUUGUUUUUUGAGACAGGUAUGGCAAGGGGCUGCCAACAAGAUCAAGCUGCAGAGGAAACAGCCACCUGGGGCGUGUUCUUACGUUGCCUGGAAGCUGCACAAGAGGCCAAGUCAAAACAUGCAGAAUUCCAGUUGCCCAUGAUGUCACAGGCUGAGGCCCACACUCCAGAGACACUGUGGACUGACUGGCACCUAUGAGCUGACCUAAUAACAGUUACACCAUUACAGCUCCGAUUCUACAGAACAAUACAUAUCCAGUUCUUAUCUAUGCUUUGCAUGUGCUCUUUGAAACACAACCCUUCCCUAAACAGAAUUCUCUACCUGUUACCAUAUCUAGAGUGUAGGGCUCAGGGAAGACAGUAAAGGACACAGACUCUGAGAAAUGAACAUGAACUAGGGCUUAGAUGAAUAAAUGGAGCUACAACAAUAGUUAUAUUUUAGUGCAACUUCUGAAAAUUAAACUAAAGGAUCCACGGGUGUGGAAGACACAAUACCAGGGUGUGAGUCAGGGGAUGAGUGCUCAAGAAUGUUCUGUGUUUCCCAAAUCCACUAUAUGAAUGGCACGACCACUUUCCCAGGCAACUCAGUCUAAAACACUAGUUAGUUCUAACUUCUCACCUCCACGCAGUCACUUCCUAAUCCCACCUCUACGGCCUCUUUUAUUAUGCCUCUCUUUUCCCCUCGCCUUCCCCUUGUCAAGCUUUCCUCCCUGCCACACUCUAGUUCCUCCUCAGCACCUCCAAGCCAGCUGAUUGCAACAGGCUCCUAACAGAGCUUCUGACCUCCAGAAUGAGCAACACAAGCCAAAAGAUCUAGGUCCAAUUCUCGUCCCAACACUCACUAAUUUGAUCAAUUUGUAUAAAAAAAUCAUUUAUCUCUCUGAGCCUAUUUUAUUUCUCUGUGAAACAGGAAAAUAAAAGAUACUUCAACCAGGCGCGGUGGCUCACACCGGUAAUCCCACCACUUUGGGACGCCGAGGCAGGCGGAUCACGAGGUCAGGAGAUCGAGACCAUCCUGG